GCUACUUUCAGACGAGCAUUCCAACUUAGUGUUUGAUCUCCAUCCCGGCAUUCUAGAAAUCAAUUUAUAAAACAUUAAGAAAGAUAAAAGCCCGUUCUUUCUUCGAGAGCAUCCAAACCAAGAGGAAUACAAAGAGCACCAGAAGCAAGACUAAAGCAGCCAUAGCACCGAUCACCGCUCCUUUCAGAUCACGAGACGAAUGCUUAGGCACUGCAGCAGUCGAAAUAAUUCAUAAAUGGUUGGCGUUGCUAAUGCCCAUAAGAAAUUUAAUUAGAUAUGAACAAUUUGUGGUAUUUCUAGUUGCUAAUAAUAUGAAAGGAUGGUUCUAAUAUCAA